rnacentral:rRNA from 1 species
UUUUUUAUAAAAGUUUUAUUUAUAAAUAUUAAUGAUAUUAUAAAUUUAUUUAUUUUAUUGGGGUGAUAAAAAAAUAAAUUUAACUUUUUUUAAUAUUUUUACAUGAAUAAGUGAUUAAUUGAUCCAUUAUUAUUGAUUAU